rnacentral:rRNA from 1 species
UGGGGAAUAUUGCACAAUGGGCGCAAGCCUGAUGCAGCAACGCCGCGUGAACGAUGAAGGUCUUCGGAUCGUAAAGUUCUGUUGCAGGGGAAGAUAAUGACGGUACCCUGUGAGGAAGCCCCGACUAACUACGUGCCAGCAGCCGCGGUAAUACGUAGGGGGCUAGCGUUAUCCGGAUUUACUGGGCGUAAAGGGUGCGUAGGUGGUCUUUCAAGUCGGUGGUUAAAGGCUACGGCUCAACCGUAGUUAGCCUCCGAAACUGGAAGACUUGAGUGCAGGAGAGGAAAGUGGAAUUCCCAGUGUAGCGGUGAAAUGCGUAGAUAUUGGGAGGAACACCAGUAGCGAAGGCGGCUUACGGGAGCGCAACUGACGCUGAAGCUCGAAGGUGCGGGUAUCGAACAGG